AUGCCGGACGGAUCUGGUGCCUGUCGGCUGAAGCAGCAGGAGUUGGCAGAGCGACGGAUGCGGACGGGGUCAUCAACAGGGGCUGUAAGAGAAGGAGCUCAAGUUGGUUCACGGUGCGCCAGGAGGAGUGGAAGGCUGAGGUCGUUUGACGGUCGGACCAGCAGGAGCAAGGAGCCAACGGUGGGUUCGUUUGGGAAGGAUCUUGAGCUGUUAGACUCACCUGGAAUUUUGCCAAUGAGAAUUAGAGACCAGACAGCUGCACUUAAGCUUGCUAAGCUACCCAUUUAUUCCUUCUAUUCGUUGAUUAUAGGAACAACACAUGCGUUCAUCAUACAAACCUGCAGCUUAUGUGCGAUAGGAUGGACUCGACAUAAAAAAAGUUUCUCUUCGGCUGCUCUGAUUUUGAGCCAAGACCCUUGGGAGUUUGUCUGGCCUCAUUGUCGACAGUGUGCAUCAGUUAGUUAUGACCUCAUCUCUUCAGAUAUCCCUGACGAUCACAGGGAACGGUCCAACCAAAAGAAAAUAGUUGUAUCAAGUAAGCGCAAUAAUUUGUUGAUCUUUGCAAGUAAAGAGGAAGAAAUCAUGUUCCUUACUUUGGUGUGUGUGACAUGA
rnacentral:rRNA from 1 species